rnacentral:rRNA from 1 species
AUGAACGCUGGCGGCGUGCCUAAUACAUGCAAGUCGAGCGAACAGACGAGGAGCUUGCUCCUCUGACGUUAGCGGCGGACGGGUGAGUAACACGUGGAUAACCUACCUAUAAGACUGGGAUAACUUCGGGAAACCGGAGCUAAUACCGGAUAAUAUGUUGAAUCGCAUGGUUCAACAGUGAAAGACGGUCUUGCUGUCACUUAUAGAUGGAUCCGCGCCGCAUUAGCUAGUUGGUAAGGUAACGGCUUACCAAGGCAACGAUGCGUAGCCGACCUGAGAGGGUGAUCGGCCACACUGGAACUGAGACACGGUCCAGACUCCUACGGGAGGCAGCAGUAGGGAAUCUUCCGCAAUGGGCGAAAGCCUGACGGAGCAACGCCGCGUCAGUGAAGAAGGUCUUCGGAUCGUAAAACUCUGUUAUUAGGGAAGAACAAAUGUGUAAGUAACUAUGCACGUCUUGACGGUACCUAAUCAGAAAGCCACGGCUAACUACGUG